rnacentral:lncRNA from 1 species
AAAGAGAAAAGGAAAAAGAAGAAAGAGAAAGAGGAAGAGAGAAUGCAAAAGAAAAAGAAAAAGAAAGUGGAGAAGGUGGCAGCCAUGGAGGGAGAAGAAGAUUAGGGGCGGUAGCCCCAUAAGAGAGAGAGAGAAGAGGAGAAAGAAGAGUGGCCAUAGAAGGGAAGAAGAGUGGCCAUAGAAGGGAAGAAGAGAAGAAAGAAGAUUUGGAGAAAAAGGUAUUACUUUAAACACUACAAGAAAUCACACAAAAAAUGACCCUAAAAUUUGUCACAUUAAAUUCAUUUUUCGUCACUAAAACAUUUGGUGACGAAUGUUAAUCGUCACAGUGACCGUCACCGUAUGAGCGUGAUAUUAGGUAUAUUUGAUAAUAUUUGAUGUCGUCACUAAAUGUUUUAACUUAUGGCGACGAUCUACACCAUUGUCACUAUAAUUAAUUACUUUUAGUGACGUUAAUAGCGUCACUAUUUGAAUGAAACUUUCGUCACUCUAUAUUAUAUUUCGUCAUCAAAACUUGGUGCAUUAAAUGACAAAAAUCAUUUUUCGUCAUUAAAUGAUAUUGUUUUAGUGACGAAAAUAUGUUACUCUAUUUAAAUCAUCUAAUUUUAAUGACGAAAAUAUUGUCAUAUUUAUGAUUAUUCUUUUGUCAUGUUAUUGUGUUUAUCGUCACAAAAAAUAAGAAAAUAAAUGACGACAGAACAAAUCGUCACCUAAUAAUAUAUUUAACAUGACAAUUAUGUCGUUGUCAUUUCAUAUUUUAAAUAAUAUUACAAAAUAAUUUGUCACCAAAGAGCUAUUUUUUGGGACACAUUUUUCAAUGUCACUAAUUGAAUACUUAUGGUGACGAUACAUCUCGUCACAAAAAGAGUUACUAAUAGUGACAAAAUUAGUUGUUGUGACUAAAUGAAUAAUUAACAGUGAUGGUAUAGUUUGUCACCAAAGAGUUAAUUUCUAUGACAUAUUUUUCUCUGUCACUAAUUGAAUACUUAUGGUGACAAUAGAACUCGUCACAUAAAGAGCUAUUAAUAGUUACAAAAUAAAAAUUCAUCACUAAAUGAUAUAUAAUAGUGACGGCAUAACUUGUCACAAAAUAGUUAAUAUUAGUGACAAGAUCAAUUGUCAUAACUAAAUGAAUUUAUAAUGACAAUACUAUUAAUUCUAAAGAGUUAAUAUUAUUCGUUAUUAAAUUAUAAUUUUCAUUGAUCAAGAAAUUGAACUAUCUGAAACCUCUUUCCAUCAUUUGCCCCCAAGAUGCUCUCUAAAACUGGAGCCAAUUCAGCCUUAUCAGCAAUAAUGAAUUUCUUGUAAUUGCCAUCCUCCUGCAUACAUAUCAACAAGAUACCAACAGCUGCAAUCCUUUCAUCUUUCCACUCAGCUUCCAAGCUGGACACAAUAUUUCCAAUCACUUUUUUUGAAAUUAAACUACUCAUAACUCCAGAUAUUGUGUUUCCCUCAACACAACAGCCAUACAGUUUCACAAGAUUAGGAUGCUGCAAUGCAGAUAUCAUGACUAUUUCAUUGACAAAUUCACGGGUUCUUUGUUUAGACUUUGAUGAAAGUUGCUUCACUGCAAUUAUUGUUUCGUCUGCUAAAAAACCCUACAAGGGGGAACAACAGAAAACCAACUUUUUAAUAAAAAAACAUAUAUAUCAUAGGAAGAUUCGAUCAUUUAUUAUGCAAUCAAAUAUUGAAAAGAAGUAAUGAGAAACAACUAUUUUACUUGAGAACCAAAAGCCAAUGUCCUGAGUUUAUUACACUGGUUUAAAUAUUUAGUCUCUUAAAGAUUUGGAUGACACCUAUCCUUGAAAUUUGCAUUAAAUUUCAGAAAGAAAGGUGAGAAAAACAAAUGAUGAGUCCUUCUACAGGACCUUUUCAAUUAAAGAACUAAGGGGAGAUAAAUAUCUUAUGUAAAAAUAGUCAUUACCCCAGGAAUCAUGUUAAACCACAAAUGGUUAAAGAUACUACUAAACUAAUAAACAAUACUUUAUAGUGACAACAUAAUCUUGCAACCCAUAUUCUUGAUGAUACUUAGUUCUAUUAAUGAGUAAGUGUUAACUUCGCAGAAAAAAAUAUUACCUUGUAUACUGAACCAAAACCACCUUCCCCAAGCUUGUAUGUUUGAUCAAAGUUCUUCGUCACAGCUUUAAUCUGUCUCAAUGUAAAUGGUCCAAUUUGUAGGUCUAGACCUUUAAGCUCUACACAAUAUGUGUAGCUAUGGAAAGUUAGUGUACCAUGUUUAGAUAACAUGAUAUGAACACAUUGUUGAAAUAACAAAAAUAACAUAAGAAAUUAAAAAUAUUUCAUGUUUACAAUUUGUUGCAACUUUUUAAAACUACUCUAAAGCUAACUAAAUUAAAACUUAAAACCAAUAUGAUGAACUUAGAAUAAAUAUUUUCUCAAGAGUUCUCGUUGACUCCUUUAUAAAAAAACAAGAUGCUAAUGAAAACUGCUUCUGAAAUAGGAUGCAAGAGUUGGAGAAUAAACAGGUACUCAAUCCGGAGGACUACCAUUUCAGACUCCUUCAGU